GGGCUGGGGCUGAGUGGCAGAGUGCUUGCCUAGCAUGUAUGAGGCACUGGGUUCGAUCCUCAGCACCACA
rnacentral:tRNA from 1 species